rnacentral:rRNA from 1 species
GUGGGGAAUCUUAGACAAUGGGGGAAACCCUGAUCUAGCCAUGCCGCGUGAGCGAUGAAGGCCUUAGGGUUGUAAAGCUCUUUCAGAUGGGAAGAUAAUGACGGUACCAUCAGAAGAAGCCCCGGCUAACUCCGUGCCAGCAGCCGCGGUAAUACGGAGGGGGCUAGCGUUGUUCGGAAUUACUGGGCGUAAAGCGCGCGUAGGCGGACCAGAAAGUUGGAGGUGAAAUCCCAGGGCUCAACCUUGGAACUGCCUUCAAAACUCCUGGUCUGGAGUUCGAGAGAGGUGAGUGGAAUUCCGAGUGUAGAGGUGAAAUUCGUAGAUAUUCGGAGGAACACCAGUGGCGAAGGCGGCUCACUGGCUCGAUACUGACGCUGAGGUGCGAAAGCGUGGGGAGCAAACAGGAUUAGAUACCCGGGUAGUCC